UGAGCUGGGGAGAAAAUAGUUAACCGCUUUACUGCUAGCUUUUGUUAUAUAAUGACAAUUUAAUACGGUGGCUAUUUUUUUGUUAACCUGCUUUAAAAAGGUCUUUCAAAUGGUUAAAUUAAUCUUCUGAUUAGCUGUGCCUGCCAGGUAAAAUAUAAGGAGGAAAAUGGUGUGGAACACAGCAGUGUAAAAUGCGUUAGCCGGCCUUAGUAAACAUGUCUAUUUUAAAUAAUCAGUGUAAUGACAGGCAGCCAUUUGCUCAGAAAAUGUUUCUUUUUUUAAAUACUUUUUAUUCUAUUUUGCUCCCCGUGUUCACACUGCUUUUUUAGCCUCUUUUUUUAAACUGAAGAUAUUCAGCAGAGCAGCAUGUUAUUUAAAAAAGGAAAGCAGAAAUAUUUACCAAAAUCAAGGUAUAAAAGAUUCGUGCAAAUUGCCAUGUAAAAUGAUCUGCACAAAAAGGCAUCGGGGAAGAGAGUGAAGGCUGUGCCAAACAGAUGGCACACCCUGCUGUGUUUUUGAUUGGAAAAGAAAGGUAACAUUUGCAGCCACGUCAAAGAGACAGUGAUCAGCUAAACAAAUUGGUCUCCGAAGUACACCAUUGCUGGAGCAAACCCUGCUGCAGGGUACAAGCGAGGUUGUAUUUCACAAUAAUGCUGUGUGAACGUCGUGGCUUUCCGAAGUGAUGUGAGAUGUCCCCCUUUCAUCUCUCCAAGGCAAGCAAAAGCCUUUGUUGAGAUAGACUGCAAUGUACUCUGCAAAAGCGGCAGAGAAACCCACAGACAAUAAAUACAAAUGUGGGUUUUUUCCUCCUUUUUUUCCCCAGGUCAUCUCCAAAUUGUAUUCAGGGACAGCCCAGCAGGUUUUCCAUUUGGUGUAUCAGGUGUCCAGGGUUCACACGGAAUACAAUUUCAAUAUGUUUUAAAAGAAAUGGGAAGGCGAUGCCAAAUAAUCUGCACAAAGGUGCAGCUGGAAGAGGAGGCUGUAGCCAGAGCAGCCCUCCUUGUGCUUGCAUGCUGCCCGCAAUACAAACAUCAAACACGGCAAAGGAAGGGUGCGCGGAGGGCUUCCCACCCCUCUUUUCUUCUUUUUGGGCUCAUCUCAGCUGGCAGCCUUAUUCCGCCUCAGUAAAGACAAGGUACAGAAAUACGCAUAUGCUGCUGUUGAACUGGUAGUCUGUGUAUGAGACGUCCAAUGAGAAAAAGGAGAAAGGAAUUUCGGAUGAUCCCAUAAACUUCCUCAGAGAGCUGUGCAAAUGACUUCAGUUGGUCCAAGGGGGGCACAGAGGCUUUUGUCUCCUCCAGCUUGACUUUCCUCAGCAACUUCUCUUUGUGCAGCUAAUGGUGGAGGAAGAGGAUCCCAAGGCACAUCUGCCUCAGGUUCAUUGUCCUCAGUGGGUAUCUCUCCAUGUGGUUGGGGGAGAAUGAAAGGCACCUCCUCCAGAUGCCAUGGGUGUGUAAGGAGCAGGGCAGUUUGCUAAAAUAGUUUUUGGCUUCCCCUCUGCCUAACCUCAAGAACCAAGGGCUUUCAUGGCACUAACCCACCCUAUUAUUCUUUCUUUCUCCUUCACAGUUCCUUGCUUGAAAAGAACGUGAGAUUGCAGGGGGUCCUAGGAUUGUUGGAUCCAUGUGGGGAUUUCUGUGGAGCUAGUGGGAAAGGGAGCCCAUGGCCAGAACUGCGCUUAAAUAAAGUGGUAGACUGUCUACAUAGACUUGUCUGCUUCUCCACUCUGUUUCAAAAAACAGAAGGCCAUUGUGGGGAGAUGCUACAUCCUUGGGGCAUGACAGAGCCCUCUUCUCUCAUCUCAGACAUAGAGCAAAACUGUCCUACUACACAACUAAUCCAUCCUUGGGACAUGAUAUGUAGCCUGAAGAAACCUGGGCUACACAAAGCUGACUAAUGACAGCUGCUCUUCCUACUCUGGGAUGCCAUUGUCCACUGCAAAAGCAAAUAGGAAGGUGAAAUAGAGGUCAUGACAGAAAAUGCCAUCAUCGACGUCCCUUAGAGGCUGCAUCCGGAUCCUGGCUUGUUUUGAACAAGUCCUCUCUCUGUAUCACUCUUUCUUCAGCUACUCUGGUGAUCUUAAGGAAUUGUCCUAACAGCUGCACAUGUUGAUUUUCCACAAUUCACAAGAGUUCCUAUGUCUGGACAUCAAUAUGCCAACCAUUAAUAUAUAGCAUGCUUUUACUGUGAAUUCAUGAAGUAACACUGCAAUUAAAUUUCCCUGUUAAUGACAUGGUUUAUUAAUGAAAAAAGUUUCAUCUGAAAAUAAAAAUAGGUUUGAUUCUCCCUCUCAAUAUCAUAAAAUUCAUGUUAGAUACAGGUACUAAAUGACAUUUGAAAAUAUUGCCAAGCCAAGGAACCUAGUGAGGACAAUGAUCUUUUCUGCCCUCAUUUGCCCUUUUCAGACAAUUCGCAGAAAGAAAUAAGGGGAAGAUAGAUAAACAGCAAAAAGCUCACCACAAACCAGAAGAAACCCCCAAAUUCAAAGCAAGAUAAAUGCCAAAAUGUUGUGAUAAGGAAAUUCACAGGAGUCUUCUGACUUUGAGUCCUCUCAGUUGGAAGGAAGAUAGUGCUGAGAUGUAAAAGCUUUUCAUGUGCAGGUCAAAAGGCUCUUGGAGAAAGCUAAAGAGCAGGACUACAGUGCAUGCCACAGAAGUACCUGCCUCAUACAGUGUAAAAACACAUUAGUAUAAGGCUUAGAUGAUGAUCUAGUGGUCUUUUCCAUUCAUUUGUGAUAGAUGCUUUCUGAGAAGACUUUGGUGUAAGUAAUAACUAAGCUGAUUAAACAAACAAAAUUCAAGUAA